rnacentral:rRNA from 1 species
UACGUAGGGGGCAAGCGUUGUCCGGAUUUACUGGGCGUAAAGCGUGCGUAGGCGGUUCCUCAAGUCCGUUGUGAAAGCCCCGGGCUCAACCUGGGAAUGGCAGUGGAAACUAGGGGACUGGAAUCUGGCAGAGGGGGGUGGAAUGCCGCGUGUAGCAGUGAAAUGCGUAGAGAUGCGGCGGAACACCGAUGGCGAAGGCAGCCCCCUGGGCUGAGAUUGACGCUCAGGCACGAAAGCGUGGGGAGCAAACAGG